GAAAUGCGAUAAGUAAUGUGAAUUGCAGAAUUCCGUGAAUCAUCGAAUCUUUGAACGCACAUUGCGCCCUCUGGUAUUCCGGGGGGCAUGCCUGUCCGAGCGUCAUUGCAAACCCCUCAAGCACGGCUUGUGUGAUGGGCCCUCCCGCGUCUUGGUCGUCAAGACGGGCCCGAAAUGCAGUGGCGGCUUCGCGGUUAUCCGAUCAGCCAGAGCGUAUGGGGACUUUCUCUCUGUCACACGCCCGCGGCGCGGACCGACGCCUGUCGACCUUCAUUCAUCGUUUUCUCGGUUGACCUCGGAUCAGGUAGGGAUACCCGCUGAACUUAAGC
rnacentral:misc_RNA from 1 species